rnacentral:rRNA from 1 species
GUGGGGAAUAUUGGACAAUGGGCGAAAGCCUGAUCCAGCCAUGCCGCGUGUGUGAAGAAGGUCUUCGGAUUGUAAAGCACUUUAAGUUGGGAGGAAGGGUAGUAACCUAAUACGUUGCUACUUUGACGUUACCGACAGAAUAAGCACCGGCUAACUUCGUGCCAGCAGCCGCGGUAAUACGAAGGGUGCAAGCGUUAAUCGGAAUUACUGGGCGUAAAGCGCGCGUAGGUGGUUCAGUAAGUUGGAAGUGAAAUCCCCGGGCUCAACCUGGGAACUGCUUUCAAAACUGCUGAGCUAGAGUACGGUAGAGGGUGGUGGAAUUUCCUGGGUAGCGGUGAAAUGCGUAGAUAUAGGAAGGAACACCAGUGGCGAAGGCGACCACCUGGACUGAUACUGACACUGAGGUGCGAAAGCGUGGGGAGCAAACAGGAUUAGAAACCCUUGUAGUCC